rnacentral:rRNA from 1 species
CCUACGGGAGGCAGCAGUGGGGGAUAUUGCACAAUGGGGGGAACCCUGAUGCAGCGACGCCGCGUGGGUGAAGGAGCGCUUCGGCGCGUAAAGCCCUAUCGGCAGGGAAGAAGAAGGACGGUACUUGACUAAGAAGCCCCGGCUAACUACGUGCCAGCAGCCGCGGUAAUAGGGAGGGGGCAAGCGUGAUCCGGUGUUACUGGGUGUAAAGGGGGCGCAGACGGCAGCGCAAGCCAGGAGUGAAAGCCCGGGGCCCAACCCCGGGAAUGCUCUUGAAACUGCGCGGCUGGAGUGCAGGAGGGGCAGGCGGAAGUCCUGGUGUAGCGGUGAAAUGCGUAGAUAUCAGGAGGAACACCGGUGGCGAAGGCGGCCUGCUGGACUGCGACUGACGUUGAGGCCCGAAAGCGUGGGGAGCAAACAGGAUUAGAUACCCGUGUAGUC